rnacentral:RNase_P_RNA from 1 species
GCACUGCAACGGUUUGUCGCUGGCGCUUCUGAAAGAUCGCGCGAGAGGAAAGUCCGGGCAGCAUAGGGCGCUCCACUUCUGAAAGUAGAAGCUAUUGGUGACAGUAGGUGCCGGCAGAAGAAAAUAACCGCCCCGCUUUGACUUCGGUCAUCGAAGGGGUAAGGGUGAGAAGGUGGUGUAAGAGACCACCAGCCAGCGGGUGAUCGUUGGGCUGUGUCGACUGGAGGCUGCAAGUUCAUGUAUACCAUCGUCUGAGGAUUGCCCGUCCGAGUAAUACGGUGGAGGGUAGAACGCUUGAGCCAUGAGGUGACUUAUGGACUAGAUAAAUGACAAACGCCACACUUGUGUGGUACAGAACCCGGCUUAUAGGUGCAGUGCUUUC